rnacentral:lncRNA from 1 species
AAGCAUGUGGUUCUUGUCUGUAAGUCUGUGACGUGAUGAAUUACACUUAUUGAUUUCCAUACAUGAAUCCACCUUCCCUCCCUGGAAUGAACCCCACUUGAUCAUGAUGCACUGUUUUAAUAUGCUUUGGUAUGUGAUUUGCCAGGAUUUUAUUGAGAAUUUUUGCAUCUAUGUUCAUGAGGGAUGUUGGUCUGAAGUUUUCUUACCUUGAUGUGUCUUUGUCUGGUUUUGGUGUCAGGGUGACACUAGCCUCAUAGAAUAUGUUUGGAAGGGUUCCCUCCUUAAUGACCAUCUGGGACCAAGUUUUUGUUGUUGUUGUUGUUGUUAUUUUAAUUAUAGAGGACCACAGUCCAAUCUAGGUUGAAUUUUUACAUUGAUACUAAAGGAAAUUUCUCACUACUUGGAAGUUCUGUUUGCUGUUGUAUUUAGUUGCAGGUUUUGCUUUAGGAUGAAUUUUUGGUUCCCCAACAACUGACAGAAUAAUACCAUCACCUAAAAUUAAUCCCUCCUGGAAGAGUGCUCAUGUUUAGCAAAUAAAAUACAAGAUGCCCAAUUCAACUUGAAUGUCAGUUCAACAGUGACUGGUAUUUUAGCAUAAGUAUGUCUCCAAAACUUCAUGGACAUAUUUAUGCUGAUGCUGUAUCAUAAGCUGAAAAUAUCACAAGUUAGAACAGCACUAAAGGCACCUAGCCCAGCCAAAGGCCUGGCUUAGCCUCUCCUGACGCGAAUGUGUGAAGAACAUUAGCUACAGUGGGGCCAUGUUGUCUGGCAUGAAGCCUGUUUUGUGGUAAAGGGUUCAAUAUCUCAUGUGCACACACGGAGGGAAUUCCACAGACACAAUGGGUUAGAAAACACAAACACAACGCCCC